rnacentral:lncRNA from 1 species
UGGUCCCUGAACUUCAGGUAAGGGACCAUUCGAUUUCUUAUUACAGAAAUCAUGUUGCAGAAAAAAUCGUCGAAGAUUCUGUUCAGGCAGAAACUCGACGGCUGGCAGAACUCAAUCGACGGGGUGAUGGCUAUGAUGCACGGAAUGACGCCUCUGUCUGGGCUCUGCAGUCAUCAGAUUAUCCAGAACAGGAAUCAUCCGAUUAUAAUGGUUCUAGUUGUGGUAGCGGUUUAUUGAAUUCUCAAUUGGACGGUGAGCAGGUCGUUGGCCAGUUCAAUUCACGGAGGGAUUUUCAGACUGAAUACUCUCCUGAGGAAACUGGAGAGACCACCCCUGGCUUCUUCACAUCAAAGUCAGAUGAAGGAGUUUACAUGGAGGGUGGCAGUGACGCGAACACUGGAACCGAAUCCUUCAAUGAAUGGAUAGAUGUACUCUUUGACUAUUAAUAGUACUUCAGUGGCAUAUAUGUUAAGGACCAUCAAAUCCUCAAGGAGGGUAUUAGAUUAUUACGGAUGUCGUAAUAUAGCUUCACUUAUGGUGUAUUGUAAUCCAAACUUUGUGCUCUUUGAGAGUUAGUUAUUUAGGGCACUUGGAUGCUUUUCUCUGUCGUAUGUAAUAUCUACAAGUAAUAUUGCUUCACUUAUUUUAUUUUAUUUUACUUAUUGGUUCAUUAAAUUCACAGAUAUUUACUUUUGAGUUUUUCUAUUAUGAUCUGGUGAUAAUAUUGUGUUUUAUUUGUUAGCACUAUGAUGAGUUUUUUUUCCCGAUUGGACUUUGUUAGAUCAUAGUUAUGUUGAAUUUUGUUUCUUUUAAUUGUAAAUAAUCGAUAGUAUUGAUAGUUCACCUUUUUUAUAUAUGUUGGUACUGCUUUUAUAAAAAUAUUGGUCUAAAUUAUAUUUAUUAAUUAUUAAUUUAUUAUUAUUAUAUAAUUAUAUUUUCCACAAACAAAUUACUAAAUCCUUACAAAGUUCUCUUUUAACAUUAUAAUUAAUAAUUUUAAUCUCAUUUAUUUCCUCUAUAUAUUUCAUCUAAAACUCUAUAGAAACCACAUAUUGUUUUAAAUUAUUAUCCAUUAAUAUCAUUUUUCAAUAAAACAAAAUACAUUGUUUUUGUGGAAAAAACUACUUUUUCUACCUUAUUUUCACUUAAGGGAAAAAAAUUAAUUGUUUUACUUUUCGCUACUCAAAGCCACAAACCAUCAAAAGUUGAAGUUUCAUUAUGUUAUUCAGUUAUUUUUGUUUCUUUAUAAAAAAUAUUAUUGUGUCCAUAGGUUGUUUUCUUGUUAAUUAUCUAAGUAUAAUUAUUUGUUUAAUUACUCUUAUUUCACUAGAAAAAAAAAUGUCUACUAAAAAAAAUGCAUUAGGAUAAAAAAAGUGAAAAAUAGAAAAGUUAACUUUAAUCUAAAAAAAGAGCUAUUGAUAAAAAUUUAUUUAAGAUUAAUUAUGUCAUAGGAAAAAUUAAAUAGAUUAAUUAUAUUGUCUAUUGAGAGAGAUAUAUUAACAAAAAUUAGAAUAUAAAAACUUUGAUUAAUAAUUUUACAUCUCAAAAGCUAGAGAAAUUGAUUUUUAAAUAAAUAAAAUUUUAAUAAAAUUAAAAUAUACAUUUCACCUCAAAUUUUUUUAGAAUGCCUAAUCAGACAAUUUACCUAAGACCUAAAGUAUAAUUGAGCCGCCCCUGAUUAAAGUCUUAGGUUUCUUCCACAACAAAUUUAAGUGUUGUAUUUAAAAUUGGGUCCAGCUAUUAUGCAACCGUAAUUUGAUACCUUAUUUUCUUGUCUUUUUGUAAUCUAUUCAUUAGAUUCAACACAAGAGUUGUAAAAGCUAGAGUGAUGAUAUUUCCACCCUACAUUUUUUUGUAAAUUCACCCUAUUUUCAAAAAUAAUUAUAAAAGUUACACAUUAUUUUUAAAAUUUUUAAAUUAAGAACUUUGGAGAAUUAAUUAAUUAAAUUUAUCUUAGUUCAUUUUUUUUUUUUGUGAGUUAGAUUUUUUUUAGAAUAUUUGAUUACAAAGAUUGCUUUGACGUAAAUUUAAAUUGACUUAUUUAACCUUAUAAAAUAAAAUUAUCAAGAAUUUAUUUUACUUCAAUUUUUUUUCUAAUUUAUAUCAAACUCAGUAUUUCUAAUACUACUUUUUAUUAGUAUGAUUAUUAUUUUUUAAUUAAAUUAACAUAGUGUCUUUAUGGCACAAUUCUCAUAUAAAUUAUUAGACUGUUAAAUUUAUGUUAUGUACAUGUAAGGGUAGUUAAAUAAAAAUUAGGUUUUAUUUAAAAAUAUUAGAUUAUAAGUCGCAAAAUUAAAUACCUAAAAUUAUUAGAUACAAUAACUCAUGUUUUAUUAGAGUAAUUUUUUCUUUUUAUAUCAUAAUAAUAAAAUAGUAAAAUAAAAUUUAUAUUAAAAUUUAUGAUCAAAGAUGGUAAAAAAAAAUAAGAAAAAAUUUAAUAGAAAGAUUUAAUUGAUUAACUGUAUAAAUUUUUUAUUAAUUUGUAUUUCUUAAGAAUAUUGUGAACUUAUCAUAAUUAUAUUUUAAAAGUGGGGUAGAUUUAUAAAAAUAAUGGGAUGGAAAUAUUCUCAUCUCAAAAGCUAUUCCAACGGUAAGGAUUUAAUUACUUGAUUAUUAACGUCAUAGCCUCUCAUCUUUUCUGAAAAUUAUAAGGAAAUGUUAGUUUUCAAAAAAUUUUAACACAUAAGUUCAUUAAAAUAUUUUAUUAUCUUUAUUUGGAUCAAGGAUAAUUUAGUAAAUGAACAUAAUUAAGUCUUAAAAAUAUGGAUAGAUUAUUUUAAUUUGCUAAAAUACUCUUCACAUCCAUUUAUUUAAAAUACCAAUUGGAUUACAAUAUUGGUAACUUAUAUUUAGUUUUAAUACAAGAUUGAGCAAAGUUUUAUAUAAAAUUAUGACAAUGUUAGAAUGAAAAAAAAAAUAAGUAUUAAAUAAGUACUUGAACGGUAAUUUAAGUUUCAUUUAUAGAGUUUAUAAAUGCUAUGUUCAAAUAAUACAUUUCUACAUGCAAAUUUGAAAUUAUAGAAAAUUACUCAUAACCUUAUCACAUGUAUGGAACCCGAGAUAAUAAUAUAAUCUCAAUUAUUUACUUAAUGUGAAAACAAAAUAAAUUGUAUAAUAUUUAUUCUAUUACUUAAAUUUAAAGUUUGUAAAAGAAUGAAACUUAAAUUUAAAAUGGUAAAGAGUGAAUAAUAACUUAAAUUAAUAGAUUAUGGGAGAAUUAUCUUUCCAAAAAAAUUAAGAGAUUAACUAAGUUUUAAGGCUUCUAAUGUAAUCUUUUUUAUCUCGUGUUGUUAACAUAAGAUAAAAAAUUUUAGUGUAAAAAAUUUAUCCUAGACGUCUCUUUAAGGUAAAAAUAUCAUUAUCACAUAAUAAUUUGGUAGGUCGAAGCUGUAUUAUUUUUAGUUUACUUAUUUAUGUCAAACACUAUAUUAUGAUUAAAUUUUAGUAAAAUAAGUCUAUCCCACCCAUCUUUAACUGUAUUGAACAGGUUCUAAUUGUUUAUAUCUUAUUAUAGGAAUGUAAGAUGCAGCUCCUUUCUUAUUACAUUGGUAAAAAGAAAAUAUAAAACACAAUAGAUAUUUUUUAAGAGAAUGCAAAGCAUUAUUUUUAUGAGGUUUUGUGUUUAAGAAAUUAAUCUAAUUUAUGUGAUUAAAAAUUUCUCUAUUUUUUUAUAUUUUUAGAAGAAUUAUACAUUUGAGAAUGAAUAAAUUAAAAUUUAAAGAAGGACGGGUUGAUUGAGAAGGAAACAAAGAUAAUAUAUUUUUUUAAGAAUUUUAAAAUAACAGUGACUGCCGAAGAAAAUGUCAAAUAAUUUUUUAGAAAUUUUAAAUUAUUAUAUUUUUAAUUGGAGUUUAUUAUAUAAGAUUUUUAAAUUUAUAAUUUUUAUUAUUUAUAAAAAAUAAUAUGGCUGCUGAAGAAAUAUCAAAAUUAAGUGUUUGGUACGUGGGGGCAACGUAAUUUUGUCCUUAAUUCCGAUUUAACUUAUUGUAUUUUAAACACGAUGCCACUUGUUAUUAUGCUCUCGGCCAACUUUAUUGCUUUUAAUGAUACUUAUUAAAAGAACUAAAGUUGUAAAAAAAAAAAAUUAUUAUUAAUUUUCAAUUUUUUUGAAAAAUACUAUUCUACAUUUUAGAAAGAUCAUACCCAGUAGCACAUCGCUUCAAAAUUAAGCAAGCGUUUUUGCUGCAUAUAUAAACACAUCCACGGAUCCUCGGCUCAUUGACCACUGACUCUUUCUAGAUUUCACAAACCAAAUUGGAUAGAAGAAGCUCUUACUCUCUCAUUCUUGUUCUACGUUUCUCCUGCCGUGUGUUGAAUCAGAAAUUAAUGGACAGUCUCGUGGGGUUCAGAUUCCACCCAACUGAUGAAGAAAUUAUUCUUCCCUGACGAUGAAGAAGACGUGACCCUGCAGGUUUCUCCGUCCGUACGAUCAAGGAAAUCGGUCUCUACAGCUUUGAGCCCUGGGAGCUACCCUGUAAGUAAUCAUGCCAACCAAGUACUCUGCACGAUGUCUGUUUAAGAUUAAUUAAUUAGUUCAGUAACUAGAAUUCAGAAGUUAUGGAAUCUUUUGUUGCGAUGCAAGCCAUUCUGACAUUCAGUCUGAGGAAGAAGUGUGGUACUUUUUCUGUGACCCUUAUUACAAGUAUACCAAGAGUAAACGGGUACAUAGAAGAACAAAGGAAGGCUACUGGAAAAAGACUGGCAGAGGUUCUAACAUGAAGCGCAAAUACAAAACUGAGGUGAUUGGUACGAAGAAGAUUUUGUCUUUUUCCUGCGAUGAUGCUGCUGCCGAGAAGAUAAGACUGAGUGGGUUAUACACGAGAUAGCUGUUGAAGAUAGCCUGAUUAUAAGGUAUUAGCCUCUGUUUUAGAACUGCAUGUGUUGUGAAAUAGUCUGUUUAUUUUCGUGAAAAAUAAUUGUAAAAUACUCUGUUCGUGUUAUUGCAGAAGGACUUUGUUGUGUGUCGCCUUGAAAAUACUUUGUUGUUUCCACUAAGAGAAAACGGGAGAAGAAGACGCUUGGUGUUGUUUCCACUAGAGAAAACGGGAGAAGAAGCUUGGUGUUUCCACCAGCGAUGGUGAUCAAUCUUGUCAAAAUUUGACUUCUAAAAGAAGUCACGUUGCAGAAGAUACUAAUAGAAAUCAUGUUGCAGAAAAAGUAGAUUUGGUUUCUACUAGAAAUUAUGUUGCAGAAAAUAUUGGUUUGGUCCCUGAACCUCAGGGAAGGGACCAUUCGAUUUCUUGUUACAGAAAUCAUGUUGCAGAAAAAAUCGUCGAAGAUUCUGUUGAGGCAGAAACUCGACGGCUUGCAGAACUCAAUCGACGGGUGAUGGCUAUGAUGGACGGAAUGACGCCUCUGUCUGGGCUCUGCAGUCAUCAGAUUAUCCAGAACAGGAAUCAUCAGAUUAUAGUGGUUCUAGUUGUGGUAGCGGUUUAUUGAAUUCUCAAUUGGACGGGGGCAGGUCGGUGGCCAGUUCA